CCUACGGGUGGCAGCAGUGGGGAAUAUUGCUCAAUGGGGGAAACCCUGAAGCAGCAAUGCCGCGUGAAGGAUGAAGGUUUUCUGAUUGUAAACUUCUUUUGUUAGGGACGAAAAAUGUGACAGUUCAGUAAUAAUAAGCGACCGCUAACUACGUGGCAGCAGCCGCUGGACUGCGGAGGCAGCAGUCGUUAUGCGGAUUUACUGGGUGUAAAGGGCGAGUAGGGGGGAUUGUAAGUCAGAUGUGAAAACUAGGGGCUCAACCGCAAGAGUGCAGUUGAAACUGGAAGUCUUGAGUGAAGGAGAGGUAGGCGGAAUUCGUGGUGUAGCGGUGGAAUGCGUAGAUAUCGAGAGGAACAC
rnacentral:rRNA from 1 species